AAAUGAGACAAUUCCUUCUAAUUCAGCAACAACAAAGGCGCCACAUUUAAUGAAUGGAACUUUUCCAGUAUGCUUGAACAGCUAAACAAUUUGCAUUGUCGGGAAGAAGAAUUUGUUCUACUUCAUAGGGUUGGAAAAGUUUUACAUCUUUAGGCCAUGGUUCAUGAGCUAAAAAACAUUUAAUAAGUUAUGUUUGUGUGGAGAUUAGAAUUGAAAUAAAAAUAAGAGAAAGUGGAACUAUUACGAUACGGAAAAAGU